AAAGAGCAGCUGAAGUGUGGAUGCUGGGUGCGGGGGUGUGAACCUUCGCCCUGCCCCCGGGUGACCCUGCCAGGUCCCGGGGGGCAUCUGGUGGCUGGAACCCAGCAGAGCUCCCGGGGCUGAGCACCUGAACCGAAGAAGCCCAGGACCGGACCUGCUGGCCGGUCAGGGAGCGGCUGAGCCUCAGAGGGGAAAGGAGCGUGGGGGUGAGAGGCCCCCAUUCCACAGGUACUGUGCCCCCUCCCCUUCCAUUCUUGGUUUUCCCAAAAUAUCUGUACUUAGCGAUGCUGUGAGCAGCUUGCCCCGGCAGACUCCCUCGAAUGCCCUGCGGUGAAUAUCCUAGGCCAGGUCUUGCCCUCUCUGCCCGUCUCCACUGAGCCUCUUUUUAGCUCACGGUGCUGUUGCCUCGCUGAUUUGAAAAUAAACAUCACGGGAGCGCUCCACGCAGCGGCAGACUCCGCCGGCCUGGGGUCUCAGGUCAGCCUCGGGAGCUAACCACGUGGACAGAGGCUUCCUCAUCUCCCACCACCUUUCCCUUCGGGGGCGUUUAGGCCCAAGCAGGGCACGGGCCACAGUGCUGAGUUUUGUAAGGUUUCCCUCGGGAGGACGCUUCUGUGGACAAUUUCCUCAGCCUAGAGACACUCUGAGGAGCAUCUCGCCCUGCUGGGUGGGUGUUGACUAUUUCUGAUCUUCAGUAACGGGAAACAAUGUCUCCAUCAAACCACCGAAGAGAAAGGCACGCCUGGAAGAUAGCUUGCAAGGUUGCCUGAACCUCCAGGGCAGGCUUGGCAGUACACAGUCAGGUUGCUGACCGAAGUCUCUCCUUCCUGGGGUGCCUCCAGAGCUCCCAGAAUCGGCCCCUUCCGUUGGCAGAAGUGCAGUGUCUUGGUCUCAUUUGCCUUCAUAUCCGCCAGUAAAGCUGAGACAGAUAAGCAGUAAUGGGCUUCAGAUGCGGAACCUAUGUCUCAGAGGCCGAGAGCUUUUCCAAGUUUGCACUGCCAGAACGUGGAGAACCAGGCUUGUGCUCUUGCCCACCCGCCAUGCUGCAAGGCCCACAGUUGGCCUGGUGUGUGUCGCCAGGAGGAAGUCAGAUGGAUCACCUGUCAGAACCGGGAGACGGCUGCUUGGCUGGCAGGAUGUGGAGUGUGUGUAGUUUCUGUUUAUUCUUGAAGUUUACUUCCCUGCAAAUACAUGCCUUACUGCUGCGCGCCUCUCACAGGGAGGCCAACGCCAGCACUCCACGGCUCAGGAGCAGCGCUGCAAAAACAAGCGACCAUGGGUGCCAGCAAGUCAGGUCUGCACUGGCUACACAGCCUGGAGCUUGGGAACAAUCUGGUUUUCAGGAAGGGAGGGAAGAAAAACAAUUUCAAACUCCAGGCGCCGAGGGCCUCUUACAGAUGGCCAUUGUUGGCAGAAGGGAAAACUAAACUGUGAAGGAGCCUGGUGGCGCCUCUGGCAAGAGGGGAAGAUUUUGAGGUUAGGGGCUGCUGCUCAGGGAACGGGAGCCAUGGGGAUAGUGCAAGCUAACUGAAGAAAGAGCGGAACAGUGCACUUGCGUGCGCUCAGGCAGCUAGCCCUUCGGUGCCUCAGUUGCCAUGUUUAAAACUAGGAGAAAAGUACCUAGGUGCGGUGGGGCAUGCCUACGGGUCCAGCUACUAGGGAGCCUGGGUAGGAGGAACACUUGAACCUAGGAGUUUGAGGUCAGCAUGGGCAACAUAGUGAGACCCUGACUCAAAAAAUAAAACAGAAGAGUAUCUGUUGUGGCUCCUUCAAGUUGGACAUGCGAGUGUGGAUAGCCUCGGAAAAGGGUCUAAAAACAGAUCCUGCUUUCCUCUUUCCUUGCUUAGAGCUUUGACUUCACUAUGUUGCAGUAAGUUUCCCCCUGCUGGGCAUAACCCUGUGAGAAGAGCUCCAUAGCUCCCUGUUUUUCAAGUGACCAUGGUGGGAGAUGCUCCUCAAACUCCACGGCUGUGAAGGUCACCCCCAAAGGCUUUGGUAGUCUCAGAAUAUGCGGGGUGGUAUCAACACAUCCGUUUUAAAGCACCAGCUGUCACUGUGGACAGGCGCCGUGGGGCCAGUUUAGCAUAUUGAUGACGAAGACCGUCACAGUGAUUAGGGACAGAGUUGGUCCCUGCCACAUGCCUGGUCCACAGCACUAGAUACUCACCCUUCCGAAGCUACUUGAUCCUCACAACAGUUCCAUCAGGCAGGGGGUGGGCGUGGACCCCACUCUGCAGAUGGAGAGAUUCAACUGCACAGUGAAUGGCAAUUUGCCUGACAUCACAUUUCCAGCAAGUACAGACCUGAAACAUUAAGCCACAUACAUCUGACUUAAAAAAGGGUGAUCUCUUGAUAUUAUACAUGGAUCAUUUUAAAGGGAUGAAUUUUAACAUGUGAUUAAUUGAUGUUUGCCUUUUUUUAUAUAUAGUUUUUUUAUAUAGUUCAGCUGGACUUGAACUCACUAUGUGGCCCAGGUUGGCCUUGAACCCACAAGGAUCCACCUGCUUCAGCCUCCCGAGUGCUGGAAUUACAGGCGUGCGCCACCAUGCCUGGCUUGAUGUUCAUCCUUUUUUUUUUUGGUAGCGGGGAUCAAACUCAGAUCCUCCUGCUUGCAAGGCAGGCGGUGGAACCACUGAGCUAAAUCCCCAGCCCUGAUGUUCAUCUUUUAAACGAAUUUAUAAGCUCACAUAUGUACCAUAUUAUCAUUUAAAUUUAACAUUAAAAAUUAUUUGCCAUAUGGGAUUGCUUCAUUUGUGGCUUGGCAUGUAUAUUUUAGUCCCUGGUACUUUCAGUGAAACAAAAAUUAUUGUAAUUCAAAACUUUCAACUGAGAAAAUAUGUUCCAGAGUGGGAACAGCAUGUGCAAAAUCCAGGAAUUAGGAAGAAACAAGGAAAGCUGUGGAAACAGCAAGUCAGUGAGAAUGCAGAGGGGCAUGAGAUGGAGUUGGCUGGGCCCAGAUCAGAAAGGCCUCGUUUGCAACAUCAAGCACUAGAGUUCAUCUCAAACCGAGGUAGUCUGUGCAGCUGGAGAUGCACAGAUCCAGUCUACAUGUUAGGAUGAGAACGUGAGCUGUAAGACUGAGCUAAAUC
rnacentral:lncRNA from 1 species